GGUUAAGUUAUGAAGGGCGCAUGGUGGAUGCCUUGGUACUAGGAGCCGAUGAAGGACGGGACUAACACCGAUAUGCUUCGGGGAGCUGUACGUAAGCUUUGAUCCGGAGAUUUCCGAAUGGGGAAACCCAAUCAUCUUUACCGAUGAUUACAACUUGAUGAAUACAUAGUCAAGUUGAGGCAGACGUGGGGAACUGAAACAUCUAAGUACCCACAGGAAGAGAAAGAAAAAUCGAUUCCCUAAGUAGCGGCGAGCGAACGGGGAACAGCCCAAACCAGGAAGCUUGCUUUCUGGGGUUGUAGGACUGAACAUUUGAGUUACCAAAGUUGAUGAUAACCGAAGAGUCUGGGAAGGCUCGGCAUAGAGGGUGAUACCCCCGUAGGUGAAAUCGUCAACCCUCAGUUCAGGAUCCUGAGUACGGCCACACACGUGAAACGUGGUCGGAAUCCGGGAGGACCAUCUCCCAAGGCUAAAUACUCCCUAGUGACCGAUAGUGAACCAGUACCGUGAGGGAAAGGUGAAAAGCACCGCGGAAGCGGAGUGAAAUAGUUCCUGAAACCAUGUGCCUACAAUUAGUUAGAGCCCGUUAAUGGGUGAUAGCGUGCCUUUUGUAGAAUGAACCGGCGAGUUACGUUAAUUUGCAAGGUUAAGGUGGAAAGACCGGAGCCGUAGCGAAAGCGAGUCUGAAACGGGCGUUUCAGUAAAUUGAUGUAGACCCGAAACCAGGUGACCUACCCAUGUCCAGGUUGAAGGUGCGGUAAAAC
rnacentral:rRNA from 1 species